UACGUAGGGGGCAAGCGUUGUCCGGAUUUAUUGGGCGUAAGGAGCGUGUAGGCGGCUUGGCAAGUCCGCUGUGAAAACCCGAGGCUCAACCUCGGGCCUGCAGUGGGUACGGGCAGACUAGAGUGCGGUAGGGGAGAUUGGAAUUCCUGGUGUAGCGGUGGAAUGCGCAGAUAUCAGGAGGAACACCGGUGGCGAAGGCGGGUCUCUGGGCAGUAACUGACGCUGAGGAGCGAAAGCGUGGGGAGCGAACAGG
rnacentral:rRNA from 1 species